GAGUAGAUUAGUUUUGUAAACAGUGCAAACAAGUUGACAUUGAUAAAUUUUGUAGAAAAAUCAUGAGAUAAAUGGUUCCAUUGAUAAAGUUUGUGGAGUAUAGUUUAAGAGAAACCUCUGCAAAUUCUAGUUUACGGAUACAAUUAUGUUAAAACUUUUUGGAUAAGUGUGCAUCUGCCUAUGAACAAAAUGAAGAAUAACAAAAAUUCUCAAACAUAGAAGCUCGCAGGCUGCAACUGGUACUAUUAAACGCCAUUCCGACUAACAACACGGAAAUAAAAGUGGAAAUCACUAUCGCCAGACAAAAAACAAAA